rnacentral:rRNA from 1 species
UGGGGGAUAUUGCACAAUGGGCGAAAGCCUGAUGCAGCGACGCCGCGUGGGGGAUGAAGGCCUUCGGGUUGUAAACUUCUUUUGCUCUGAACAAGGCAUGCUAAUGGGUGUGUUGAGUGUAGGGGUUGAUUAGCGCCGGCUAACUACGUGCCAGCAGCCGCGGUAAUACGUAGGGCGCGAGCGUUGUCCGGAAUUAUUGGGCGUAAAGGGCUUGUAGGUGGCUGGUUGCGUCUGUCGUGAAAGCUCAUGGCUUAACUGUGGGUUUGCGGGGGGUACGGGCUGGCUUGAGUGGAGUAAGGGAGGCUGGAAUUCCUGGUGGAGCGGUGGGAUGCGCAGAUAUCAGGAGGAAUACCGGUGGCGAAGGCGGGUCUCUGGGCUGUUACUGACACUGAGGAGCGAAAGCAUGGGGAGCGAACAGG